GACGAACGCUGGCGGCGUGCUUAACACAUGCAAGUCGAACGGAAAGGCCCUGCUUUUGUGGGGUGCUCGAGUGGCGAACGGGUGAGUAACACGUGAGUAACCUGCCCUUGACUUUGGGAUAACUUCAGGAAACUGGGGCUAAUACCGGAUAGGAGCUCCUGCUGCAUGGUGGGGGUUGGAAAGUUUCGGCGGUUGGGGAUGGACUCGCGGCUUAUCAGCUUGUUGGUGGGGUAGUGGCUUACCAAGGCUUUGACGGGUAGCCGGCCUGAGAGGGUGACCGGCCACAUUGGGACUGAGAUACGGCCCAGACUCCUACGGGAGGCAGCAGUGGAGAAUAUUGCACAAUGGGCGGAAGCCUGAUGCGGCAACGCCGCGUGCGGGAUGACGGCCUUCGGGUUGUAAACCGCUUUCGCCUGUGACGAAGCGUGAGUGACGGUAAUGGGUAAAGAAGCACCGGCUAACUACGUG
rnacentral:rRNA from 1 species